rnacentral:rRNA from 1 species
GGACGAAAGUCUGACGGAGCAACGCCGCGUGAGUGAAGAAGGUUUUCGGAUCGUAAAACUCUGUUUUCAGGGACGAAUGUGCUAUUUGUGAAUAAUGAGUAGUAAUGACGGUACCUGACAAGAAAGCCACGGCUAACUACGUGCCAGCAGCCGCGGUAAUACGUAGGUGGCAAGCGUUGUCCGGAAUUAUUGGGCGUAAAGCGCGCGCAGGUGGGAUAAUAAGUCUGGUGUUAAAGUUCGGGGCUCAACCCCGUGAAGCAUUGGAAACUAUUAUUCUUGAGUGCAGGAGAGGAAAGUGGAAUUCCUAGUGUAGCGGUGAAAUGCGUAGAUAUUAGGAGGAACACCAGUGGCGAAGGCGACUUUCUGGACUGUGUCUGACACUGAGGCGCGAAAGCCAGGGUAGUGAACGGGAUUAGAUACCCCGGUAAUCCUGGCCGUAAACGAUGGGUACUAGGUGUUGGGGGUAUCGACCCCUCCAGUGCCGGAGUUAACACAAUAAGCACUCCGCCUGGGGAGUACG